rnacentral:rRNA from 1 species
AGAAUCAACGCUGGCGGCGUGCCUAACACAUGCAAGUCGAACGAGAAAGUGGAGCAAUCCAUGAGUAAAGUGGCGACCGGGUGAGUAACACGUGACUAACCUACCUUCAAGUGGGGGAUAACCUCGGGAAACCGGGGCUAAUACCGCAUAACAUCUUUGGAGUGGAAAUUCUGGAGAUCAAAGGAGCAAUUCGCUGGAAGAGGGGGUCGCGGCUGAUUAGCUAGUUGGCGGGGUAAUGGCCCACCAAGGCUUUGAUCGGUAGCCGGCCUGAGAGGGCGCACGGCCACACUGGAACUGAAACACGGUCCAGACUCCUACGGGAGGCAGCAGUGGGGAAUUUUGCGCAAUGGGGGAAACCCUGACGCAGCAACGCCGCGUGGAGGAUGAAGUCCCUUGGGACGUAAACUCCUUUCGACCGGGAAGAUGAUGACGGUACCGGUGGAAGAAGCCCCGGCUAACUCGCGCCAGCAGCCGC